UGGGGAAUAUUGCACAAUGGGCGCAAGCCUGAUGCAGCCAUGCCGCGUGUGUGAAGAAGGCCUUCGGGUUGUAAAGCACUUUCAGCGGGGAGGAAGGCGUUAAGGUUAAUAACCUUGGCGAUUGACGUUACCCGCAGAGGAAGCACCGGCUAACUCCGUGCCAGCAGCCGCGGUAAUACGGAGGGUGCAAGCGUUAAUCGGAAUUACUGGGCGUAAAGCGCACGCAGGCGGUCUGUCAAGUCGGAUGUGAAAUCCCCGGGCUCAACCUGGGAACUGCAUUCGAAACUGGCAGGCUAUAGUCUUGUAGAGAGGGGUAGAAUUCCAGGUGUGGCGGUGAAAUGCGUAGAGAUCUGGAGGAAUACCGGUGGCGAAGGCGGCCCCCUGGACAAAGACUGACGCUCAGGUGCGAAAGCGUGGGGAGCAAACAGG
rnacentral:rRNA from 1 species